AUGAUUAUUGUUACUUUUUCAACAACAAUUCUCCUUUUAUCUAUAAUAUUCUUAAUUAUUUAUUAUAUUUAUUUUACUUUUUCUCUCAAUGUAAUAAUUAUUUAAGGGUAAUUUUGGCAAAAGCUCAAAUAAUACUACAUUGAACUUUUCAAGUGACAAUUAAAAAGGAACAAAUCAAAAUAAUAGAUUACAAGAAAAGAGGAUAAAAAAAGU
rnacentral:lncRNA from 1 species